rnacentral:lncRNA from 1 species
AGCUACUUGGUGAAUGGUCAUCAGAAGUUGCUGUUUGCCUUCAUAUCACCCAGGCUCAAAUCAGACACAUCCUUCAGUUCAGAGUUGAUGCUUUCAGAUUUUUCUGGUUACAUUCACAAUCUGGUCAAUAACCAGGAGUAAGAUUGCUGGGUCACAUGAAGCAAACCAUUGGCCACUGUUCCCAGGGAAGUGGGAGCCUUGACUAUAUGUUACCUCUAAUUCUGGACGCAGGACUCAGCUAAGCAAGCAUUCUCAUGUCAGUGAGUAAAACCUAUUGCACUAAAGCUUUUCAGUAUCACCAUUGCUGAAAACAUGGUUAAAAGUAGCAUCUAAUGCCCUUUUUGCAGUUGCUUCUCAGUUGUUUCUUGGUGAACUAUUUAAAAAAUAUUGGAAAUUUAAAGUAGUGUUAAUUCUGAAAGUGCUUCUCUGACUUCAGAAAUUGUCUACUUGCUUUCU